CAUGUGCUCCUGCACACAGCCCUGCACCCUCCCCAGACCUCUCCUCAGGUCACACCACUGAGGACUGGAAUAGCAGAAUGCAAGCAAUCAAGAGGGCACAGCACCUCCUGCUUAAGGGCUGGAAGGGAAAGGAAAAUCUAGAUUAGAAAAGCAUCAAGCAGUCAAGCAGAACUCUGUGCGCACUGCCAAAGCUCCCAGGGACAACAUGACUGGAUACUGCUGGUAAUAAGGGGACAGUCUUGGAAUUCUUUUAUUUCUCUCACAGCCACAAAUCCUCUGGUCUGUGCGUGGUCACCAGCCAAUGAUCUAAAGAAAUGGAAGCAAGACCUUUGGAAAAAAAAUUUCCUGCCACAUCUCAGCAUGCUGCAAGGGCUACUCAGACCAGGAGAAAAAAAGAAGUUGAGCAUGCAGAAAAAGUUCAUACAUUCCUGCCUCUGUGUUCACUCUGGGACUGAGCUUGCAGAAAUUUGUGCGAUAUUUCUUUUGACAGGGAAGCUGUAAUUUCAUACAAGUCUCCUAGACUUGAAACAAACUAAUAA